ACAGAACACACCGCCUGUGGUUGAUGAGAGUAGUCAUUUUCCUUCAGUAGGUAAAAGGAGAUGUGACGUGGGCUUGUUUUUUGGGCUGUGAACUGCAAAGUGAAAGCAAUGGGUUCUUUGUAAAUGGAUUAUUUACUAAAUGCAGAAUUCACAGUGAAUUGCAAAGUGAAAGCAAUGGGUUCUUUGUAAAUGGAUUAUUCACUAAAUGCAGAAUUCACAGUGAAUUGCCAAGUGAAAGCAAUGGGUUCUUUGUAAAUGGAUUAUUUAUUUACUAAAUGCAGAAUUCACAGUGAAUUUCAAAUUUAAGGUUAAAAUAGCCAAACCUUAGAAAUUCACUAAAUCAGCUGUUAGUUUUGGCUGCUCUGAACUUAAAUUUGAAUUCUCACUUUCUAGUAAAAAACCCUGUUAGCGAUGACUUUUCUUCACUCAACCCAAACCGUUAUUAUUGAUGUUUAACUAUUUACAUACAUUUCUUUAGCGUGAAUAUUGUAUUUGUGUUCUGUACAGUAGAGCGGGUCUUUAAUAUAGAUUAUCGUUCAUUUUAUAGC